rnacentral:rRNA from 1 species
UACGUAGGUGGCAAGCGUUGUCCGGAUUUACUGGGCGUAAAGAGCGCGCAGGCGGUCGUUCAAGUCGCGUGUGAAAGCCCCCGGCUCAACUGGGGAGGGUCACGCGAUACUGAUCGACUCGAAGGCAGGAGAGGGAAGUGGAAUUCCCGGUGUAGAGGUGAAAUUCGUAGAUAUCGGGAGGAACACCUGUGGCGAAGGCGGCCACCUGGACGACAACUGACGCUGAGACGCGAAAGCGUGGGUAGCAAACAGG